rnacentral:rRNA from 1 species
GGAUCCCAUCAGAACUCCGAAGUUAAGCGUGCUUGGGCGAUAGUAGUACUAGGAUGGGUGACCUCCUGGGAAGUCCUCGUGUUGCAUCC